UUUAAAGUGUGAAAUCUGAGUACUAGUACUUGGAUGUACCUGGUGUGUAUAUGAACUUGAUUUCAAUCAAGGACAGGGUUUGAUGAAGAUUGAGAUGUUGUUUGCUGUUGACGAAGCCUGAAGCAGCACAACAACAAGAUGUACCUGAGUCAGAAGAAUCGGAUACGAAAUGCCGUCUGACAGUGAAAGUGCAUUUGAAGAAGUACCGUGAACCUGCUUGAAAGACAAAGAUUGCAGAAGAAAAGAGCUGCUGAGAAUCCUCCUCUCACAUUCUUUUCGACAAGAUUUUCACGCAAAGCUGAUCGAGAUCCUCAUAUGAAGCUAACCACAAGAGCUGAAGAAAGAGACCCAGUGCUGAGAGUUCAGAAGUCAAGAACUUGCACAAAAUCUGCAGCAUAGCGACAACUAUAGACUACGUUGAAGAUGUUGCUGAUUUCAAGUAUGAAGACAAUUUGAUGGCAUCGGUCUAGGGGGAGAUUGUUAGGCCCUAUAGUGUGAGACGGACGCAUCAAAUUAAUACAACGGGCUAUGGUUACGAACUGGGCUUUACCGGGUUAGUUUAUAUUAGGUUUUGGACAUUUAUAGGUCACUUGGGCCAAGCUUUAGGCCAUGUGGGCCAAGCAGGCCCAAGGGGAGCCCAUGUAGGGAAGUGGGCUUGAGUUAAUAUAUAAACAAGUUAUUAACUUGUUUUAGGGUUUGAACCUUUGGAACCUCAUUGUUACAAAAUCCUCUAGAGAGGGAGGCGAUUGGUUGGUAGUCGUGAGCACUUGUACUAGACGGUUUUGCUAAUUCAUAGUAAUAGAAUCGUGCGCAAGUGUUUA
rnacentral:lncRNA from 1 species